rnacentral:misc_RNA from 1 species
AACGCACAUUGCACCCCUUGGUAUUCCGAGGGGUAUGCCUGUUCGAGCGUCAUUAUAAUCAUCAAGCUUCGCUUGGUAUUGGAGCUCGCCCAUCGCGGCUCUUAAACUUAGUGGUUGUGCCGUCUGGUAUUAAGCGUAGUAAUCUUUCUCGCUAUAGUUCUAGGCAGCUACUUGCCAUAUAACACAAAUCUUUAAUGGUUGACCUCGGAUCAGGUAGGGAUACCCGCUGAACUUAA